AUGAAGACCGCCUUCAAGACAAAGGAAGGGUUAUUUGAAUGGCUAGUCAUGCCAUUUGGACUCUCAAAUGCACCAAGUACCUUUAUGCACUUAAUGAAUCAAGUCCUUAGACCCUUCUUAUCCCACUUUGUUGUGGUCUAUUUCGAUGACAUCUUGAUCUAUAGCAAGGAUGAGGAUGAACACUUCGAUCACGUUCGGAAGGUGCUAGAAGUACUAAGGGAAAAUGAGCUCUACGUCAACUGGAAGAAAUGUGUUUUCCUACAAACACAACUUCUUUUGCUAGGAUUCGUCAUAACAUGUGACGGCAUUCAUGUUGAUGAUUCUAAGGUUGAAACAAUCUGA
rnacentral:rRNA from 1 species